GAGGUGGAAGCGUAGCGAUACGUGGAGCUGACGAAUACUAAUCGAUCGAAGACUUAAUCAAAUU
rnacentral:rRNA from 2 species